rnacentral:pre_miRNA from 1 species
ACAUGGUUACCUGAGGAUCUUGUUAAAAUGCAGAUUCUGAUUUUCUAGGUCUGAGUGGGGCCUGAGAUUCUGCAUUUCUAACAUGCUUCUUAGUGAUGCUUAU